GCAACCUUCAACACAGGACACUAGCGUUAGCUGCUAGCUGGGCUCAAAUUAGCCUGGAGACCGUUGGCUGGAUUUGCCAGUUGUUUCACAGAGACUUGGGUGUCAGGUUGGCAAACGUUUUGAGUGAUGAGCUUUAUGAGUUGUUUUAGUUGUCGUUUUGUCUUUUACAACCCCACGUGGAACAAUAUUCGCCAUCAUGUGCGGGCGUUUUUGCCCACGUGGCAAAUACAUCCUUGUGACUCUAUUAAGGGCUUCACUGAAACCUGAAAAAACAAAAAAAAACGUGAAGGCUUAUUGAAGGUUUAUUGAAGCUUUUAAAUUGGUCCUUAGUAGCUGUUUUGAAUUAGGUUAGUGACAAUGUCAGGACCAGAACAUAAAAACGGGGAAUGGCAGGAUACUUUCUGGUGGUUUUGCGAUAAGAGUUAAAAAAAAAGCUUUUGGUGUUGGACUGUCGAACGUAAAUACUUUUUUAAGUAUCAAGGAACCAUAUUUGGUAGCACAAACCAGAGUCAGACUGAACGGCACGCACCUUACCAGAAGGCCAAUCGGCAAGGAAAGGGAAUGAAAACUCUUACACUGGACUGGUAUGUCAUUAUUAUGGAUUAUAUAUUUUUCAUUGAUAAAGUAAAUGAGCAUUGACAUGCAAUAAGUGCAUUUCAAUCGCUGCAUUUAACAGUGACUGUUUUUCUUUUUUUUUUUUGGAGGGUGGGGGGGACUAUUGCAAACGUGCUUGUUAGUUCAUAUUUGACAACAACAACAACAAAAAAAAAACAUUAAUAUACUCUGCCUACGAAUAAAAUUAAAACCGAUCCUUAUCACGGUCUUUUUUUUUUUUUUUUUUAAACUGUUCAGUCAGCUCCGACUUAAGUUUCUGUGCUCUGUUCUGAUGGAAAUAUUUUGAGAAAUACUCUCUCACACACACAGACACACACACACACACACACACACACACACACACACA